GGACGAACGCUGGCGGCGCGCCUAACCCAUGCAAGUCGAACGGAGCUGAGAGAAGCUUGCUUUUCUUAGCUUAGUGGCGAACGGGUGAGUAACGCGUGAGUAACCUGCCCUGGAGUGGGGGACAACAGUUGGAAACGACUGCUAAUACCGCAUAAGCCCACGAUCCGGCAUCGGAUUGAGGGAAAAGGAUUUAUUCGCUUCAGGAUGGACUCGCGUCCAAUUAGCUAGUUGGUGAGGUAACGGCCCACCAAGGCGACGAUUGGUAGCCGGACUGAGAGGUUGAACGGCCACAUUGGGACUGAGACACGGCCCAGACUCCUACGGGAGGCAGCAGUGGGGGAUAUUGCACAAUGGGGGAAACCCUGAUGCAGCGACGCCGCGUGGAGGAAGAAGGUUUUCGGAUUGUAAACUCCUGUCGUUAGGGACGAUAAUGACGGUACCUAACAAGAAAGCACCGGCUAACUACGUG
rnacentral:rRNA from 1 species